rnacentral:rRNA from 1 species
GGGGAAUAUUGCGCAAUGGGGGAAACCCUGACGCAGCGACGCUGCGUGAGGGAAGAAGGCUUUCGGGUCGUAAACCUCUGUCAGGAAGGAAGAACCUCUCAAGGCUGAACAAGCCUUGGGACUGACGGUACUUCCAGAGGAAGCACCGGCUAACUCCGUGCCAGCAGCCGCGGUAAUACGGAGGGUGCAAGCGUUAAUCGGAAUCACUGGGCGUAAAGCGCGCGUAGGCCGUCUUUUAAGUCGGACGUGAAAGCCCUCGGCUCAACCGGGGAACUGCGUUCGAUACUGGGAGACUUGAGUCCUGGAGAGGGUGGCGGAAUUCCGGGUGUAGGAGUGAAAUCCGUAGAUAUCCGGAGGAACACCGGUGGCGAAGGCGGCCACCUGGACAGGUACUGACGCUGAGGCGCGAAAGCGUGGGGAGCAAAC